CCUACGGGAGGCAGCAGUGAGGAAUAUUGGUCAAUGGGCGCGAGCCUGAACCAGCCAAGUCGCGUGAGGGAGGACGGCCCUACGGGUUGUAAACCUCUUUUGCCGGGGAGCAACGGGCGGCACGUGUGGCGCCACGGAGAGUACCCGGAGAAAAAGCAGCGGCUAACUCCGUGCCAGCAGCCGCGGUAAUACGGAGGAUGCUAGCGUGAGCCGGAUUGAUUGGGUUGAAAGGGUGCGUAGGCGGAUCGUUAAGUCAGUGGUCAAAUUGAGGGGCUCACCCCCUUCCCGCCAUUGAAACUGGCGCUCUUGAGUGGGCGAGAAGUAUGCGGAAUGUGUGGUGUAGCGG
rnacentral:rRNA from 1 species